GGUUAUAGCACGAGGGUUCCACCUCUUCCCAUUCCGAACAGAGAAGUUAAGCCUCGUCACGCCGAUGGUACUGCGUAACAGUGGGAGAGUAGGUAGCCGCCGUUU
rnacentral:rRNA from 1 species